UACGUAGGGUGCAAGCGUUAAUCGGAAUUACUGGGCGUAAAGCGCGCGCAGGUGGUGCGGUAAGUCUGCCGUGAAAUCUCCCGGCUCAACUGGGAGGGGGCGGUGGAGACUGCCGGACUGGAGGGACCUAGAGGCCGGUGGAAUUCCCGGUGGAGUGGUGAAAUGCGUAGAGAUCGGGAGGAACACCAGUGGCGAAGGCGGCCGGCUGAGGGUGCCCUGACGCUGAGGCGCGAAAGCGUGGGGAGCGAACCGG
rnacentral:rRNA from 1 species